UGCUUGCUGUGAUGAAAUAAUAACACUGGAACCCUACCUCCGUAAAACCUCUUCCAUCCAUCCAUCCAUCCAUCCAUUUCCUUGUUCUUCGCCGAAGCAGGGUUUAAUUACAGGUUUCCUUAAACCCCCAAACCCAACGCCCAUUCACAGACUUCGCACAUCGAAUUACCGUUCCAUCACAGCACAAAUUCUGAUGAUUUUGCAUCAGCGUUGCGUCUCAAUGCUCCUCCUGUGCAGACAAUCGUCUCCCCCAAGACUUUUCUCACCUCUAAUAAGCCAUUUUUCAUCAUCUCUUUCUUCUUCUUCUUCUUCGCAAUUGCGUUGGCUUAGACCACCAUGCCGGAGUAGAACUAGGUCAUUUGCGACCUCCGCCGCAGCUGCAGCUGCGGAGGUCGGAGAUAAAAGAGGAACGGACACGUUCUUCGCCGAAGAAAGCAUUUCUUGGACAUCACUCGGAGUGUCUGAUCGGCUCUCUCGAGCUCUCAAUAACGUCGGCCUCAAUAGACCCUCUCUCGUUCAGGCAUCUUGUAUACCAUGUAUUCUUUCUGGAAAUGAUGUAGUGGUCGCAGCAGAGACUGGUAGUGGUAAAACACAUGGUUACCUUGUUCCACUGAUGGAGAAGUUGUGUACCAUACCUGAUAACUCCAUGAAUUCAGCUGUGGAUGGUGAAAUGAAGCUUCCUCAUCAGCUAUCUCUUGUUCUUUGCCCCAAUGUCAUGCUGUGUGAGCAAGUGGUUCGUAUGGCCAACGGUCUUUGUGAUGAUGCUGGUGAACCACUUCUUAGGGUUGCUGCUGUUUGUGGGCGGCAGGGAUGGCCAGUUGACGCACCAGAUAUAAUUGUAUCAACCCCUGUUGCUCUUCUAAAUUACCUGCGUGCAAUCGACUCAGAGAAGCGUCGUCAUGCUGAUAUCUUACGUGGUGUCAAAUAUGUGGUGUUUGAUGAAGCUGAUAUGUUGCUCUGUGGGAGCUUUCAGAACCAAGUUAUCCGUCUAAUAAACCUGUUUCGUUUUGACGAAAAGCUGUUGUCUCGCGCUACAAAAUCAGUAGUUGAGAAGCCAGAGGACUCCUGUUCUGAUUCUCUUAUUGCUAGUGAAUUUCAAGAUGAUAAGGACCUUCAGACUGAUCUCAACCUACCAGAGGAGGAAGGUGCUGAGGAUGAUACUGUUCUUGAAGAGUUAACAGAAGGGGUAGAUGCUGAGGGCACUAAGAGAAAAGAUUGGAGAAGGGUGAGAAAAUUUUAUGAGCGGAGUAAGCAGUAUAUUUUUGUGGCAGCCACGCUUCCUGUAAAUGGGAAGAAAACUGCUGGGGGAGUGUUGAAACGGAUGUUUCCCGAAGCCAGUUGGGUUAGUGGACAUUAUCUCCAUCAUCACAAUCCUAGGUUGGAGCAAAAGUGGAUUGAGGUUACGGUUGAUACACAGGUGGAUGUUCUCAUAGAUUCUGUAAAACAAGGAUUCAGAUCCAAAGAGUUAGAUUCUGCUGCUGGAUUAAGUCGAACAAUGGUAUUUGCAAACACUGUUGAGGCUGUUGAAGCAGUGUCUAAGAUCUUAGCGACAUCUGGGAUUGAAUGCUUCCGUUACCACAGUGAUACCUCUUUGGAAGAGCGUACACAGAACUUGGUUGAUUUCCAACAAAAAGGUGGUAUUCUUGUGUGCACUGAUGCUGCUGCACGUGGACUUGACGUAACAAAUGUUUCACAUGUCAUUCAGGCAGAAUUUGCCACUUCUGCUGUAGAUUUCUUGCAUAGGGUUGGGCGGACUGCUAGAGCAGGUCUGCCUGGACUUGUUACAAGCCUGUAUAGUGAUUCCAACCGAGAUCUUGUUGAUGCUGUUCGUCAAGCAGGGACACUAGACCUGCCCGUGGAGAAGGCAUUUAGCAGGAAGAGAAGCUUCCGGAAAAGAAUUAAGAAGAGAGGUCGCAGCGAAGUUGGCGACACAUUAUCCGUUGGGGAUAGAGUUCUAGCAUAAGCUUGACGAGGUCUGAGCAGCUUGAUAAGUAAUGGGGCAUUCAAACACUCAACUGGUUUUCCACCACCUGUUACAAUCCUUCAUGCAAUUAUGCGUAAUUGCUGUUCUUUGCUACCCAAAACCAGCCACCGCGAACCAUGACCUAAACACAAGCACGCCUAGCUCCCUUGAGCUUCCCAAACAUGUCUCUUACGUGCGAGAAACGUGCUAACAUGUGACGGCAAACUAAGCUAAGUCCACUGGAUGAGUAGUGGCAUGUGGUAUACCUCAAGUCUCACGAUGAUGUGCAAGAGAUGAAGCCGUCACCAAGUUUACUUAGUCGCUGACAACGUGUGAAGAACACAAAUGGAAGAGCUAAAUCAUGAGAGGUAAUGAGUUACUAUCAAAUUCCAGUGCUCACACUCAUCAACCCAGGCCCAUUUCCUUGUGUUCAGGGCCUAAGCUUAGAAAUACUAUUACAGAUUACAAAACUCUAAAUCUCAACCAUGUUAAUCAACGAGGUUUACAUCUCAGUCGACAGCGACACUUCAUUGUUGACAAGUCUUCUAAAUUGGUUAACCAGCCUGUCAUUUUGUUCCAAGGAAACAUGCGUUAUGCGUUCCUUCCAUUAGCUAUAUCGAAUUUUAUCAAUGCCAUGGAUAUGGAAGACAUUCUUGAUGUUGUAUAUUAAUUCCGUUGGUUAAGGCUCGAUUUGAAUCGUACUUUUGCAAAAGAGAUGUUCAAAGGUAAUGGAUUCUACUU